GUGACUGUGGCUCAAUGGUAGAGUAUCUGGUUGUGGCCCAGAAGGUUGCGGGUUCGAGCCCCGUCAGUCACC
rnacentral:tRNA from 2 species